AUUGAACGCUGGCGGCAUGCCUUACACAUGCAAGUCGAACGGUAACAGGUCUUCGGAUGCUGACGAGUGGCGAACGGGUGAGUAAUACAUCGGAACGUGCCUAGUAGUGGGGGAUAACUACUCGAAAGAGUGGCUAAUACCGCAUGAGAUCUACGGAUGAAAGCAGGGGAUCGCAAGACCUUGUGCUACUAGAGCGGCCGAUGGCAGAUUAGGUAGUUGGUGGGAUAAAAGCUUACCAAGCCGACGAUCUGUAGCUGGUCUGAGAGGACGAUCAGCCACACUGGGACUGAGACACGGCCCAGACUCCUACGGGAGGCAGCAGUGGGGGAUUUUGGACAAUGGGCGCAAGCCUGAUCCAGCAAUGCCGCGUGCAGGAUGAAGGCCUUCGGGUUGUAAACUGCUUUUGUGCGGAACGAAAAGCCCUGGGUUAAUACCCUGGGGUCAUGACGGUACCGUAAGAAUAAGCACCGGCUAACUACGUGCCAGCCGCCGCGGUAAGAC
rnacentral:rRNA from 1 species